rnacentral:rRNA from 1 species
UACGUAGGGUGCGAGCGUUGUCCGGAAUUACUGGGCGUAAAGAGCUUGUAGGUGGUUUGUCGCGUUGUUCGUGAAAUCUCACGGCUUAACUGUGAGCGUGCGGGCGAUACGGGCAGACUAGAGUACUGCAGGGGAGACUGGAAUUCCAGGUGUAGCGGUGAAAUGCGUAGAUAUCUGGAGGAACACCGGUGGCGAAGGCGGCGUCCUGGACCAACACUGACACUGAGGAGCGAAAGCCAGGGGAGCAAACGGG